GACCUGCGGAAGGAUCAUUAACGAAUAUAAAUCGGUCGGUUGUCGCUGGCCUUCGGGCCAUGUGCACGCUGACCCGUGUUUCAACAAUUUCUCACCUGUGAACCUAAUGUAGGAUGCCUCUCCUCCGGGAGGGGGGACCUAUGUCUUCAUAUACAUCUUCGUGUAGAAAGUCUUAGAAUGUUUACUAUCAGAGAGUCGCGACUUCUAGGAGACGCGAAACUCUUGAGAUAAAAGUUAUUACAACUUUCAGCAAUGGAUCUCUUGGCUCUCGCAUCGAUGAAGAACGCAGCGAAAAGCGAUAUGUAAUGUGAAUUGCAGAUCUACAGUGAAUCAUCGAAUCUUUGAACGCACCUUGCGCUCCUCGGUGUUCCGAGGAGCAUGCCUGUUUGAGUGUCAGUAAAUUCUCAACCCCUCUUGAUUUUUUUUGAGGGAGUUUGGAUAGUGGGGGUUGCCGGAGACUAAUAAGACUCGGGCUCUCCUGAAAUGCAUUGGCUUGCGAUAGACUUUCGACUUUGCGCGACAAGGCUUUCGGCGUGAUAAUGAUCGCCGUUCGCUGAAGCGCAUGAAUGAAGGUUUCGCGCCUCUAAUAUGUCGACUCUUAUUAUCUCUUCGGAGAGAAAAGGUCUUCUUUAUUGACUUUUGACCUCAAAUCAGGUAGGAUUACCCGCUGAACUUAAGCAUAUCAAUAAGCGGAGGAAAAGAAACUAACAAGGAUUCCCCUAGUAACUGCGAGUGAACCGGGAAAAGCUCAAAUUUUGAAUCUGGCGAUCUUUAUGGUCGUCCGAAUUGUAAUCUAGAGAAGGUUUUCCGCGCUGGACCGU
rnacentral:rRNA from 1 species